GAACGGGACCUUCGGCAACAAUGAAGCUGAUGAUGAAUGUGGCAGCAUUUAUCCAGAAAAAGCCAAGCUGAACUUCUACCUGCUGCUGAUGAACGGAGUGAGAGUGGUGUUCACCAAAGCUCUGGCCUUCAGCACCGUCCUCACCAUCAGAGGCCUGAUCUUCUGAAACUGACCACCAUAAAAAAAAAAAUAUAUAUAUAUAUAAAAUAGAGAUUAAGUUGAACUACUAGGGAGGAAAUAAUAUAAACUCUUAAAUAUUUAGUUUGCUUUCUUUUUAAAUACAGGGAAAUAAACAUUUUGAAAUACACAGAUUUUAUAAUGUUGUAUAUAUAUAUAAAAAAUAUGUAUGUCAUUAAUUCUCUAUUACUGUAAUUGAAAAAAUAAAAUUGCAAAACUGCCAUCUCUUUUGGUCACUGUAAAAUGUCAUAUAUGUCAAAUUUUCAGUAAUUUUUAAUCAUUUGUCCAUAUUUUUGCAAAAAACAUUUGUAAAUUAAAAAUUCUGAUGAACAGAAGUGACCCUUUUAUUUUGCUUUAUAAUUUAAUAAUUGAGGGGAGCAAUGUUGUCGGAAAGCAUUUCCCUACAGGCUUCUUCAUUUCUGUCUUCAAGAUCUGUCCUGAAAUUAUUCUCAGCUACUGAACAAUAAACAUGCUGUUUUAUAUUUUUUAACUGUCAAAAAGUCUGUCUUUAUUUUUUUAACUCAUGUAUUGUUGAAUAAGUAGAAACUUUGCUGUCAUC